AAUUAAUUAACAAUAAAUUCACCUAAACUUUUUGGAGAAUAGUGUUAAUUUAUUAAUUUAGUUUUGCAAUAUGUUUGUUUAUCGUGAUUAUUUCCGAGUUAAUUUGUUUUGUUUAUUUUCAGUACCGAUAGUGUUAUAAGACCAUGACCAUUUUUUUUUUCAGGGUAAAAUAUUUCUCAUGCCAAAUGAUUUUAAAAUAAAGAAUCAGCUUCUCAAGAGUACUGAUGUGGUGAAUUUAAAGCGUUGAAUGGAGAGCUACAUACUAAUCAGUUCCCCACACAGCUCAGGAGCUCCCACGACCAAGCCAGCUUCCUCUUUUACACCUGGAAUCUGAGAGCAAAUGUCAGCGAGGUCAAAAGCCAGCCCUGCAGGUGUCUGCUGUGAGCUCACUUGCUGUCUGGCCAGCAAGGUUUGCUGUAGCACAAUAAGCCCACAGGAGCACCAGAGCCAAUGCAACGCUCGCUUCAGAAUCCCCAGCGAAGCCCGGCGACUUUGCACAUCCUGGUCCCGCACCUGUGCUGUAUGAAUCACCCUGCACACCAUGUGGCUGCGCUUUUACCAGUUGGUCACCUAGCAGAUGAAAUGUCUUCUGGCUGCCCCAGUACUUCCCCAAUACAAGAUGGCUCUUUAUAGCACAGAACUGGUUACAAGGCUGUGUGGUCAUGGCUCCAGGUUGCUCCAUAAUGACGUUCCACUUGCACUUGCAUCCUCGUUAAAAGAUAACCCAAGCAGCAAAGUCUCUAAGCCAAGGUUGCUGAUUACAGCACCAAAAAAAAAAAAAAAUGAACACAGUAUUUGUUUCAGGUUGUUAGUUAGCAAACAGCUUUGGACCCUUUGUACUGCGCAGUCAAUCAUGUGACAGGUGUGGUGACUCAGCUUCCUUCUAGUGCAUUGCCAAAGAAUAAAAAAAUUGAGACACAAUGUACUCUGUGUAUUUCCAAGUCCAACAACUGUCUUUUGUUUAAUGUCUUCCAUUAUUUAUGUAUUCCUGUUACUACUACACAAUUUUGACUGCAUUCUCUAUUUGUUUUUUUUUUUUUGUUCCAUUCUAACUCACAUGUCUGUUACCAAUGAAGAAACACCCAAUAUGACGUCAAUAACAAAACAGCCAAUAACAAACUGAGGUGCUAGGCUUGAAUGAUACAAUCAAUGUACUAGCAUGGUGGUUGGAUUAGAAGCGAACUUGAAAGGAGAAAAACAUUUGUUUCUUUCCCAACCUUUAACGUUAAAAAGCAAGUAAGAAACAACCUAAAGGGUGAUUUGGGGACCCCAAAAUGAUAAGAGUUGAAAAAAUGCUGAAAAUGGUGUCCAGAUUGUAGGUCUCAAUCAAGGUUUUGUUUUGUUUUACUAACACCUCAAUGACAGUUCAGUGGAGAAACAUGCCACUGAUAUUCGUGACCUGCUAUAUCACAAGAGAUCAUUGCUGGUAUGCUGAUGAAAGCAAAAUGUAAUUCACCUUUAAGAAAUGUGAGGGAACAAAUAUCUAGUCCCAAAUCAUGAAUAGGAAAGCAGUCAGUUUCAUAAAGUGUAUGUCGCACUGUGAAUUGGAAAAUCAGAAAACAAUUCCCUUCUUAUGAAUAAAUAAACAUUUGUAGGAAAGUGAAAACUAAGCAAAUAAUGAACUGAUUAUAAUUUCUUUAUGAACACAUAAUGGGCCUGAGGUAAGCCAUAUCUUUAAAAUUAAAAAUAACAUUGUUUCGUAUACAUAUGAAUAACCCUGGGGACACAUAAACAAAGAGAUUCAAACUGCUUGUUUAACAGUGCACACAUUUUCUUUAUUGACUUUUGGUUAGAUAAAAGAAACCAAUAUUCAUUUUUUGGGGGAGACUUGUUUGAAACCUUGACUUACAAUUUCAAAAAAUAAAGAGAUCUAAACAUAGUGAAUCUUGACACAGGCACAGUGGCCAAACACAUUACAGCACUGGUCUUUAUUACUUUGACCUCCAGAUCCUGGCAGGGACUUCUACUUGUGAAGAGAACAUUGUAUGUUUUUCAGAUUUGGAUUCUGCACCUCAUCUUAGUUACUGAGGGAGCUACUACCCCCUUGUGGAAGAAAUUCUAGUAACACCUGGAUAACAGAGUGCUUCAUCUAGUAGAGAGCAGAUAUCAUAAGUCAAUGCUGGAAUGCUUAUACAACCAGCUGUUUCCCCUGAUGACUGACAUGCCUUGCAGCCAGUUACAUGCUCAGAUCCAAAGUCUCCACUCAGAUGUCUUGCCAUGGAAGUACAAUACUGCCAGCUUAAAAUGUAUAAACUUGCUUUUAUUGGAGCCCAUUCUAUUGGAUUUCUAUUGUCUUUAUUGGUGCUAAAUAUAGGCAGUAUUAAGAUCCACCAGGAUUAUGGCAACUCACUGGACAAAAUGUAACAGCAGCUUUUAAUCUGUUGCCUAGUAUAACUGCCUAUUGUUGAGCAUUAUGUGAUUUUUAAUUUACCAUGCACAUUUGUUUUAAUGAUAUUAUUGACUGAACAUUAGGAAUUAAAAGGUUUUAUAUUAUUCUCUUUUCUAGGCCAAGUGGAAUAUGUAAGUAACAUUUAA